CAAAACAGAAACAUACAAAGCAAACUAUGGUCAGGGUGUGACAGAACAUCAACUCCUCACCUAAGAUGGAAGGCUGCAUUCUCAAACAGUGGCGAGGAGUUGGGAGCUCUCUUCACCUCACCAAAAUCACCAUGUGAUUUUCUGCUCUGGAAAGGGGGCUGUUGUUUUUGAGAUUCUGAGGAGGGUGCUGGAGGGGUAGGACUGCAGGGACACGCUCUGUUUGGGGGAGGGAGGGGAGCUGGGAGAGAUGAGAGACAGAGCAUUGUUAAUGUGGACUACACAAGAUUCAUUAAUGAACUGGAAAACAUUAGUUGGUUCACUGACAAAAGUUCGGUGGUCUUUUUGUACACAGCAGUAUCUAGGGUAGGGGUGGUAGCAGUGAACAAUGUUAGCAAGAUUUAAUUUGAAGUGUGCCGGAAAAAUCAUAACUUACCUGAACGUUUAAUUGCAAUUAGUGAUUUCCUUUUGACUUCCCCCUGAUAGGUUGAUGGAGGGGUGAAGACAAACCCACAGGCAAACUCCAUUGGUGGCCAUACCACUUAAGUUGGCAGCUCUGGACGUUCUUCUUACUCCGGACCAGGCCUUUAUCCCAGGGACUCAAAAGAGGACGUUACAGCGAAAGAGAGGCAUGCGACCUGGCACCCUGACGAGACUACGUUGACAAGCAAAUACACCAACAUUGGCGAAUGUACUGUAAAGGGAAUAAUGUUUGUGCUUUUCUUAUACCUCAUUUCUGUGUUCUAAUCAUGUGCUGUUCUAAAAAACUAUAUUUGUGUUCAUGCAAGUGGUUGACUAAACAAAUACUCUUAUCAGUAGCUGCAAUUUGGCAGUACGCCCAGACCUUGUUUUGAGAACAAACAAAAGAUAUCCCAGUUUCAAGGUCUCAGCUUAGAGAGGAGAAGCCUCGUAGUAAGGUGUUGGUCUGUCACAUGUUAUGAAACAGUAGUGGUCGGUCAUAUGAAUGAAACAAAACAAUAAUGAUGAAUGAAUGAUGCUAAACCAUGCAUAUAUAACAUGUCUGUGUAUAGCCUAUAGACAACUGCUGGGACUGCCCAGAGAGCUCCUGAUUGAUGUGUACUAUGAUGCAUUGAGUUGUUUGGAACCUCUCCAGCGCGCUGACAAUAAACAAUGAUUCAUUUAAGAUGGA